GGUGGCUCAAGCGGUAGAGCACUUGCCUUGCAUGCAUGAGGCCCUGGGUUCAAUUCCUCAGCACCA
rnacentral:tRNA from 1 species